GGAUGAGCCCGCGGCCUAUCAGCUGGUUGGUGGGGUGAUGGCCUACCAAGGCGUUGACGGGUAGCCGGCCUGAGAGGGCGGUCGGUCACAUUGGGACUGAGAUACGGCCCAGACUCCUACGGGAGGCAGCAGUGGGGAAUUUUGCACAAUGGGCGCAAGCCUGAUGCAGCGACGCCGCGUGAGGGAUGACGGCUUUCGGGUUGUAAACCUCUUUUAUCCACCACGAAGGCGGUGUAUUCGCACCGUUGACGGUAGUGGUUGAAUAAGCGCCGGCUAACUACGUGCCAGCAGCCGCGGUAAGACGUAGGGCGCGAGCGUUGUCCGGAUUUAUUGGGCGUAAAGGGCUCGUAGGCGGUUGAUUGCGUCCGCCGUGAAAGGCCUCGGCUUAACCGGGGUUUUGCGGUGGAUACGGGUCGACUUGAGGCAAUUAGGGGAGAUCGGAAUUCUACGUGUAGCGGUGAAAUGCGCAGAUAUGUGGAGGAACACCGGUGGCGAAGGCGGAUCUCUGGGAUUGUUCUGACGCUGAGGAGCGAAAGCGUGGGGAGCGAACAGGAUUAGAUACCCUGGUAGUCCAUGCUGUAAACGGUGGGCGCUAGGUGUGGGGUCACGUUGGUUGAUUCCGUGCCGUAGCUAACGCAUUAAGCGCCCCGCCUGGGGAGUACGGCCGCAAGGCUAAAACUCAAAGGAAUUGACGGGGGCCCGCACAAGCGGCGGAGCAUGCGGAUCAAUUCGAUGCAACGCGAAGAACCUUACCUAGGUUUGACAUCACCCGGAAAGCCUCAG
rnacentral:rRNA from 1 species